GGGGCAGUGAAGGUGACCCCCGCCCACGACCGCCACCGACUUCGAAUUGGGGCAGCGGCACCAACUGCCCACCGUCAGCAUCAUAGGGGAGGAUGGGAGGCUGGAGAACGUACCGCCCCCUUUCCUGGGAAUGCGGCGCUUUGAGACCCUAUGGGGCGCUGUGGGGCAGGUCUCUAUGGGGUGCUAUGGGGCAGGUCUCUAAGGGGCGCUGUGGGGCGCUGUGGGGUGACUGUGUGCCCCAUAGGGAAUGCGGCGCUUUGAGGCCCUAUGGGGCAGGUCCCUAUGGGGUGCUAUGGGGCACUAAGAGGCAGCUCUCUAUGGGGCGCUGUGGGGCGCUGUGGGGUGACUGUGUGCCCCAUAGGGAAUGCGGCGCUUUGAGGCCCUAUGGGGCAGGUGUCUAUGGGGCGCUAUGUGGCACUAUGGGGCAGGUGUCUAUGGGGCGCUAUGUGGCAC
ensembl:lncRNA